GUGGUUUCAAAGAACAAUGAUGAAGAAGAACUGGCAAGAGCUAUAGAGAAGGAAAUGAAAGAGAAGACCACAGCGGCUUCACAAGAAGAAGAAUGUAUUUUGAGUCCUGAGAGUGAAGAUGAUGAUGAUGAAGUAAUGGACAAGGGCAUGGAGAUUGCACUGCUGAAAGAGAAGGUCAACAACCUCACAAAAGCAAAUGCUAAACUUUUGGCAAGAAAUAAG